AAGUCGUAACAAGGUAACCGUAGGUGAACCUGCGGUUGGAUCAUUACUAAAUUACUUUGACCUGAGGUUGAGUUCAAAAUUCUUUUGAAAUCCCUCAGUGUCAUAAACAUUUUGUGCAUCUAUUGUGUAUUUGGGUUAUUUCUUUUUCGAAAGGAUUAACCCAACAAUGAAUAUAAACCAUUAUUCUUUUUUUUUGACUGAAAUAAAUUGAAAAAUUUAUAAACAACUUUUGACAACGGAUCUCUUGGCUCUC
rnacentral:misc_RNA from 1 species